rnacentral:rRNA from 1 species
AUUGAACGCUGGCGGCAGGCCUAACACAUGCAAGUCGAACGGUAACAGGAAACAGCUUGCUGUUUCGCUGACGAGUGGCGGACGGGUGAGUAAUGUAUGGGACACGGCCUGAUGGAGGGGGAUAACUAAUGGAAACGGUAGCUAAUACCGCAUAACGUGGCAAGACCAAAGAGGGGGACCUUCGGGCCUAUUGCCAGCGGACGUGCCCAGGUGGGAUUAGCUAGUAGGGGGGGUAACGGCUCACCGAGGCGACGAUCCCUAGCUGGUCUGAGAGGAUGACCAGCCACACUGGAACUGAGACACGGUCCAGACUCCUACGGGAGGCAGCAGUGGGGAAUAUUGCACAAUGGGCGCAAGCCUGGUGCAGCCAUGUCGCGUGUAUGAAGAAGGCCUUCGGGUUGUAAAGUACUUUCAGCGGGGAGGAAGGGAGUAAAGUUAAUACCUUUGCUCAUUGACGUUACCCGCAGAAGAAGCACCGGCUAACUCCGUGCCAGCCGCCGCCGUAA